rnacentral:rRNA from 1 species
GAUGAACGCUGGCGGCGUGCCUAAUACAUGCAAGUCGAGCGAACAGAUGAGGAGCUUGCUCCUCUCACGUUAGCGGCGGACGGGUGAGUAACACGUGGAUAACCUACUUAUCAGACUGGGAUAACUUCGGGAAACCGGCGCUAAUACCGGAUAAUAUAUUGAACCGCAUGGUUGAAUAGUGAAAGACGGCUUUGCUGUCACGUAUCGCUGGAUCCGCGCUGCAUUAGCUAGUUGGUAAGUUAACGGCUUACCAAGGCGACGAUGCGUAGCCGACCGGCGAGAGGGAUCGGCCACACGGGAGCUGGAACGCGGUCCAGGCUCCUGAGGGAGGCAGCAGUAGGGAAUGGGACGCAGUAGGCGAGAGCCUGACGGAGCGGCGCCGCGUGAGAGAUGGCGGUCUUCGGAUCGUAAAGCUCUGUUAUGAGUGAAGAACAGAUGUGUAAGGUACUAUACACGUCGUGACGGUACCUGGUCAGAAAGCCACGGCUAACUACGUG